rnacentral:rRNA from 1 species
AUUGAACGCUGGCGGCAGGCCUAACACAUGCAAGUCGAGCGGAGCGGCGGACGGGAGAGUAAUGCCUAGGAAUCUGCCAGGUAGUGGGGGAUAACGUCCGGAAACGGGCGAUAAUACCGCAUAAUAUCAGAUGAGACUAGGUCGGAUUAGCUAGUGGGGGGGGUAAAGGCCUAACAAGGCGACGAGCCGUAACUGGUCUGAGAGGAUGAUCAGUCACACUGGACCUGAGACACGGUCCAGACUCCGACGGGAGGCAGCAGUGGGGAAUAUUUGACAAUGGGCGAAAGCCUGAUCCCGCCAUGCCGCGUGUGUGAAGAAGGUCUUCGGAUUGUAAAGCACUUUAAGUUGGGAGGCGUUACCAACAGAAUAAGCACCGGCUAACUUCGUGCCAGCAGCCGCGGUAAUAC